rnacentral:misc_RNA from 1 species
AAAGUCGUAACAAGGUUUCCGUAGGUGAACCUGCGGAAGGAUCAUUAACGAGUUUGACAUGGGGUUGAUGCUGGCCUUCCGAGGCAUGUGCUCGCCCCUGCUCAUCCAUCUACACCUGUGCACCUUUUGUGGCUAGGCCUUACGGUCCACGUUCUGCGUGGGCUGGAAGCCGGCUGCGUUUUUUUUUUAUACACACGCUUCAGUUCAGAAUGUACUAUUGCUAUAAACGCAUUAAAUACAACUUUCAACAACGGAUCUCUUGGCUCUC